GCUUAAAUAUUGAUUAUUUGGCUUAGUCGGUAGAAUUCCCGACUAUGGUGCGGUAGAACUCGGGUUCGAGCCCCGCUGAAGGCA